rfam:Aedes albopictus isolate Foshan contig92322, whole genome shotgun sequence.
UGCCCAGCAACUCCUAUCCCUACCUCCACGCGGUACCGGCCGGAAACUAUGAGCAACCUUAGGGAAGAUCGGGUAACCAACCCCGGUGGGAACUUUGGUCGUAGGCUGACAAGGAAGG